AUUGUCCUGAGAGAAUCAUCACUUU
rnacentral:piRNA from 1 species